ensembl:lincRNA 5330434G04Rik RIKEN cDNA 5330434G04 gene
GUCCCCCACUGGUCUUCUGAGCAGACUUGACGCAGUUUCAUCUCAUUCCUGAGGUAUCCUGAGCCCCUCAGUGCCAUACUUCUGCGUGAGUGCUGUGAACUGGAGCAAAUGGGUUGAAAAUGGCCAGAAGUUGCUCUUGGUCUCUUUAGAUCUUUUAUGACAAAGAAAAAAAUUGAAUUUCUGACCAGUUAAAAUCCAUUUGAGCCAGUUUAAGCUAAUUAUGCAGAACUGGAGCCUGAGGUCGGUAAAUCCAGGAAGAUGGCUGAAUACUAUGCUGACUCAAGUACAGACAAGGAGCCAGAUGAGAAAACCAAGGCUCCAAGAGCUUCUGUAACUUGUCCAAGACCAUGCAGUUAGUGCACAGUGAGGCACAGAAUCAGUUGUAGAAGCACUUCAGGGAAUUCGGAUACUAUUUUGUGGCCUGGCAAGAUCAGCAGCCUUACUAUCUUAGUCCCUGCCAGUCAUCAGCUUCUGGUUUCCCUGUUAUCCUGCUGCUCCCUAGAAUGCAGCUAUUAAGUGGCCUAAGAGCCAGCACCUUCACGGAGUAGCAAAGAGGAAAGUCCAUUUGAGGACAGAGCGAGAAGACGAUGGUUAUCCACAAGCCAGAAAAAGAAGCCUCACCAGAAAUCCUGAUACUCUGAGUUUGGGUUUUCAAGCCCCUACAACUUCGAGACAAUGAAUAUCUUCUUUACAGUCUAUGAUAUCUUGUUUGGUAGACCAAGGAGACUAAUCUAUUACUUAAUAUUGGGAACAUUACUUAGAAGCUAAUGAUCUUCGAAAAUGGUAAAGUUAUUUAUGUUUGCUACUUUCAUUCUUCCUUUCCUCUGUUGAGCCAUUUAAAACAAUGAUACUGGCACUCAUUUCUCUUUACCUUUCAGUAUUUGAUUUCUAACAGAUGGCUAAGGUCUGACAAACACUGUCUUGAUAAUACACUACAGAGCGUUAGAGACAGACCCAGAUUUCCAUCCAAAGAGAGUAUUCUAAGCUUGGGUGGUGGCAAUGGAGCACUCUGACCUGUGAAGCACCAUUCUUUGAAGGCUUCUUUUGUGAUCCUCUUUAGAUCACAGUUUGGAACUGAGUUACAGACUAGAUCAUAUCUCCUCAUUCUCUCCAUUUGAUCUUUCUUCCCUCAUUAAUUCCAAAGUAUGCAAGCUAUAUGCUUUCUAGUGUUUUUCCCCCUUCACAGCCAUUGUCUAGGCACCAAAAAUAGAGAUGGAAAGAGACAGGUUUAAUCCAAAGCACCAGUUUCCAUUACCUUAAGCUUCCUCAAUGAUUUUUCUGAUGAGAUGAAAUUUCUUAUACUUGGUCUCAGGCCCAAGGUAUAUGCAAUACGUCAAUGAAAUUGAUUGCGACACAUUGAAGUGAGUGCCUGGGAACUAUGAGUUCCUUAACU